ensembl:lncRNA
CAACAGGCAAACUGCACCGCAGGCAGGUGUGUUCAAUGCAUUCUGACCUGGUGCUUUCCCAGAGACCAAUAAAACAUUCAGGAGAACUCAGAAGAAAACAGGGCUGUUGUUGUUUAUCUGAGCUUAUCUGCUCAGCCCUAUCACUAGCCUUGUUUCCCUGAAAUGCUCAUAAAGAGACAAGCCCUCAGUGGAGCAGGAACGCUUCCCAGCUGACACGAGGCUGGUGGCCAGGCAUGGGGAGCUGCACACACACACACACACACACACACACACACACACACACACACACACACACACACACACACACACACGCAGCCAUGCAGCCAUGCACUCAUGCACUCCUGGAGCCGCAUCCCUACUCCAGGGUAAUGGCAAAGAAACCUUGGGUAACUCUAUCAGUUCAGGUAAGUUUUGUUUCCCCUGAGUGAAGAAAGUUUUGUUUCUGCUCUGCUCUCGUCUAUCUUGAGCAAUAAUCAUUAAGUGAAAUGAGUCCAGCAGGGCAAAGUCGCCAGGCUUAUCCAGCCCUUUGUACUUCCUUCCCACCAGGACUAACAGAAACAGGUGAAAUGUCGCAAUCCAACAGCAUGCAGUCAGAUAUCACACUCCUGGCAGGCUCCAGAUAGCCAAAAAUUGCCUCUUUUUUCCAGCUCGAUCUAUUUUACUGCUGCAGAGAUGUCAGCCUUCCUGUUAGUCACCACACAAUGAGGCAUAGCAUGUCACCACUGAGCUGGGUCUGUCUAGAUGCCCUUUGUUCUUCUCUCUUCCACAUGUACCUCCUCAUGCCUUAGACAUCUGUUUUCUGUGGAUCUCCUCCUUGCACAGCUAAAGAGAAGGUUUAAACCUAAGGCGAGCAGGACUUCUGUCAGGCCUUUGCAAUAAGGAAGCAGCAUCUCUCUCCUGCAACAGUGUUUCUAUCAGAGAUCAAGAGAGGUCUUUCAAAGGCGUUUUGCAUGCAACUAUCCAUGACUGGUGUAGUUCUCACCAUAAGGAAGGCCAUGCAGCUUAGUGGUAUGAGAGUCGGGCGUGCUUGGAUCCUCGCUGGCAAAGUCAAUAACCUGACCUUGCAGACUUUGCAGGGUUAGUUCCAUCUCAGCCUAUUGUAUCUGUAUUGUUUUUCUGCUCAGACUGCAUGACAGGGAAAUAACCACAGGAAUUCUGCAGCUGUGUCCAACACUGCUGCAUUCCUGGCUUUUCAACUUACUGUAACUGCACGCUGAGUCACAAUUUUGCUUUUUUUUUUUUGUUUUUUUUUUGAUGGUCUAUUUUAUCCUGGGAAUGAAGAGCAUGGGAAGUUUGUCCCCCGUCUGAGUUUGCUCCUUGAAGGAUGACAGCAGUGUGUCUCACAAGCACACGCUCCCCACACAGGUACCUGUGUGCGUGGUAGGGUGGAUCCACUCAGAUCUGCUGAACUUCACCUGGGAGGAUGUGGGGAAGGGAGCAGAUGGGCCCCAGCACUGAGCCCUGGCAUGCACUGCCAGCCUCGCUCACUGCCUCACCCCGAGCACUUCUCGUCUCACCCAAAGACCUCCUUCAUACACAAUAACUUCCCAGGUGUGCCAAGACAAGCAUAACAUUGUCUUGGGACCCACAAACAUUUUGAAGCUUGAGUAAUGUUUGCUCUCCAACUCCAGCUGAGGCUGUUUACCCAGAGGUUUUGCAGUACGGUGACAUCUUCCUCUUCUCUCCUUACACAAUUAGGUGCACAACUCGCUCAUCCCAAUUAAUAUUUUUCCUUGAGCCCGGGUGGUUUUUUUCCCCUCCUACUAGAUCUGCGCUUAUAACCAGAGUAAAUAGCUUUGAAACUGCUGAUGUUCAUGGAGACAGAGCAAUCUGCUCAUCUGCCUGAGUCCUGUGUAUGAAGGCAAAGUAACCAGGUAUUUAUCAACGCUGCAAAGCUUCCAGGGCUUCUUUGGGAAAGCCUGAUUCCCCAGGGCUCUGCGCAGCAGCUGCAGUACAGCCGGUCACCUUCUCUGCUGGCAUUAUCUCAAAUAUUUCUGUUAAUUCGGAGAGAGCUUCACCUUUAAUGCUGGUAGACAGUUGACCCCAUUGUGUGUGCAUUGCAUUCAGAGUUCCCAAAGCCUGGCAGCUGUUCAGCAGGUUUUCAAGCAUUUUUGCUGACUAUAAAGAAAACAUGUCUGUAUUUGGCUUCUCCACAGACUAUUUGGCCUUCCAGCCUAACAAAACACUACAGCGGUGUUGUCAGUCGCAUCCAGUUUUGGAAAGCCACACUGUUUAGUACAGUGUUUCCAGGCUGUCUGCCAUAAAACAAGCUUGUUCCUGCUGCAUUUCAUGCGAAUUUGGGUAUUAACAAGAAUUAGGGCAGGAUCGAAUCCAACGCGCCGCCCCAAAGAUACUUACACAUAUUUCAAACCCCCAAAUCAUCGGCUGUAACAACCAAACUUUGUGGAAAUUCCAGGCAGGGAGAAAAGCCCCACAUGGAUUAUUUGUUCCGUGUGUGCAUAGAGCUGGCAAAGGGCAAGGACAGGCACUUCAAGGGAAACAGUGGGAGAGAGCAGCUGGGAGCCACACAGCAGCCUGCUGUUGGCAUCAACAGGUCGUUCAUUCUGCUCUGUGUCAGCACACAGGUGUGCUCUGCAGUGACAGCGCUCCUCCAACAGCUCUCUCCCUCCACCAGCUCCCAAAGGGAGUGAUGUUUCCCACCAGCCCGAAG